GAUGAACGCUGGCGGCGUGCCUAAUACAUGCAAGUCGAGCGAACGGACGAGAAGCUUGCUUCUCUGAUGUUAGCGGCGGACGGGUGAGUAACACGUGGAUAACCUACCUAUAAGACUGGGAUAACUUCGGGAAACCGGAGCUAGUACCGGAUGAUAUUUUGAACCGCAUGGUUCAAAAGUGAAAGACGGUCUUGCUGUCACUUAUAGAUGGAUCCGCGCUGCAUUAGCUAGUUGGUAAGGUAACGGCUUACCAAGGCAACGAUGCAUAGCCGACCUGAGAGGGUGAUCGGCCACACUGGAACUGAGACACAGUCCAGACUCCUACGGGAGGCAGCAGUAGGGAAUCUUCCGCAAUGGGCGAAAGCCUGACGGAGCAACGCCGCGUGAGUGAUGAAGGUCUUCGGAUCGUAAAACUCUGUUAUUAGGGAAGAACAUAUGUGUAAGUAACUGUGCACAUCUUGACGGUACCUAAUCAGAAAGCCACGGCUAACUACGUG
rnacentral:rRNA from 1 species